rnacentral:rRNA from 1 species
CAACUUUCAGCGACGGAUCUCUUGGCUCUCGCAUCGAUGAAGGACGCAGCGAAUCGCGAUAAGUAAUGUGAAUUGCAGAUCUUCCGUGAAUCAUCG